UAGCUAGUUGGUGGGGUAAUGGCCUACCAAGGCGACGAUCAGUAGCCGGCCUGAGAGGGUGAACGGCCACACUGGAACUGAGACACGGUCCAGACUCCUACGGGAGGCAGCAGUCGGGAAUUUUGGGCAAUGGGCGAAAGCCUGACCCAGCAACGCCGCGUGAGGGAUGAAGGCCUUCGGGUCGUAAACCUCUUUUCUCAGGGAAGAUAAUGACGGUACCUGAGGAAGAAGCACCGGCUAACUACGUGCCAGCAGCCGCGGUAAUACGUAGGGUGCAAGCGUUGUCCGGAAUUAUUGGGCGUAAAGAGCUCGUAGGCGGUUUGUCGCGUCUGCUGUGAAAACUCGGGGCUUAACCCCGGGCCUGCAGUGGGUACGGGCAGACUAGAGUGCGGUAGGGGAGACUGGAAUUCCUGGUGUAGCGGUGAAAUGCGCAGAUAUCAGGAGGAACACCGGUGGCGAAGGCGGGUCUCUGGGCCGUAACUGACGCUGAGGAGCGAAAGCGUGGGGAGCGAACAGGAUUAGAUACCCUGGUAGUCCACGCCGUAAACGUUGGGCGCUAGGUGUGGGGCUCUUUCCACGAGUUCCGUGCCGCAGCUAACGCAUUAAGCGCCCCGCCUGGGGAGUACGGCCGCAAGGCUAAAACUCAAAGGAAUUGACGGGGGCCCGCACAAGCGGCGGAGCAUGCGGAUUAAUUCGAUGCAACGCGAAGAACCUUACCAAGGCUUGACAUGGGGCGAAAACCGGCAGAGAUGUCGGGUCCGC
rnacentral:rRNA from 1 species